rnacentral:tRNA from 1 species
UGAGAUGUUGCUCGGUGGUAGAGCACUUGCCUUGCGUGUGAGGUCCUGGGUUUGAUCCCCAGCACAUCAC